rnacentral:rRNA from 1 species
UACGUAGGGGGCAAGCGUUGUCCGGAAUCAUUGGGCGUAAAGAGCGUGUAGGCGGCCCGGUAAGUCCGCUGUGAAAGUCCAGGGCUCAACCCUGGGAUGCCGGUGGAUACUGUCGGGCUCGAGUCCGGAAGAGGAGUGUGGAAUUCCUGGUGUAGCGGUGAAAUGCGCAGAUAUCGGGAGGAACACCAGUGGCGAAGGCGGCGACCUGGGCCAAUACUGACGCUGAGGUGCGAAAGCGUGGGGAGCAAACAGG